CUACCGCGGGGGGUGGGGGGUGCUUCGGGACGAUAAAAUCAGCGCCUGUCCUGCCGCCUUCCCCCCACGGCGGCCCCGCUGCCCGUUCCAGCGGCGCGCACCGGGGGCGGCGGGCGGGGGAUGCGCUCGCCCCUUCCCCGGGGAGCGCCGCGGCGAGCGCGGGGCGGGCGGGCCGGCCCCGGCCCCCGGCCCCUGCCUUGGAGUUGGUAUUUUUGUUUUGGUUUGCUGUUGUUUUUUCCGUGGCGCAGCCCUGGGGACGGCGGGCCCCGGGCGGGGAGCCGAGCCGGGCCGGGCUGGGCCGGACCGAGCCCCGCCGGGCCGGUCGGGCUGGGGCCCCAGCGGCGCUUUGGAACGGGGCAGCGGCAGCCGGCAGAGCCCCCUCCCCGCCCGGGGCCGGCGCUGCUCGGGGCCCGGCAGCGCGCAGCCUGUGCUUCCCCCUAUUGCCUUCACCCUCGCUUCAUUUUUUUUCUUUAAUUUUUGACUUUCCUCCUUUUUUUUUUUUUUUUUUUGUUUUGUUUUUUUUUUUUUUUUGUUUUCCCUCUCCCCGCGGCAUCCGGGGCGCGCAGCCGGGCAGGGGAAGGCAGCGCCCGCGCCGGCCCCAUCGCCGGCUCCCAGACCCGCCGCUCUCGGGACCCUUCUGCCUUUCUGCUCUUAUUUUACAACCACCCCCGUCCCCCCCUCCGCCCGUUUUAGCUGCGUUUUAAAACCUAUUUCCAGCCGGAGUUUGCCAUCCUUUCGGUGACUGAGUCAAGUCCUGGCUUGUAAGGGCGAAUGCCUCCUGCGUCUCGCUUCCAGGAGAAGUGAUAUUGCAGAGCUCAGUGCUCGGGGUGGGGGGAAGAAAAGUUUGAGCGAAGUCGCCUGGCGCCAAGUCCGGGCGAGGGGGAAGAGGGGCGAGUGCUGCCAUCGCUGUCCCCGCUCAGCCCGGUGGCUCCGAGCCUCCGGCCGAGCGAGCCACGGCCAGCGAGACCAUCCCUUCUGCCUUCUCUGGGCUUUAAAUCUGUGCUCAGCCUCUCCAGCCUGCGGUGCCCUGCCAGGGCCGGCUGCAGCUGCUCAGGAUGUGGGGUGAGGACUGGCUGUGCCGUUCUGGGCCCUGCCGGGGCUGGAGCAGGAACACCUCCGAGGAAAACAUCAAAACAAGCCCUCGUGUCCAGCUGGGACAGCCCAGGGGCUGCUUCGUGUGGGAGGAAACUGGCAGCUGAUGUGACAAUCCGCAGGAAGGAGAACUUCUGAGAGAUGUAGGAAGCGUGUGAGCAUCCCAGUGAGGAAGGAGGAAUCCUCUGCCCCACGUGUGGUUGGCUCCGUGGGGCUGCUGGGCUGGAGCAGGAGAUGAGAAUCUGGGCUGUGACAGUGAAAUAAAUCCUCGCAGCAUCCCUGAGUUUAUUCCACGUCGUCCUGCUGUGUUGGAGGAAGCGUUUGUGUUUCUCAAAUUUAGGGCAUUUUAUUUAUUUAAAAGAGAGCGGGGGAGAAAGCCACAGAAUUUGAGUUAUUCAUUGCAAAUAUUAUUAUUGGCAUUUCGCUCCUCUUGAGGGGAAAAAAAAAAACCAAGGGGGGAAUCAAAACAUUUCACUGGAAAAUACACCCUGGCUUUGUCCCACCCACAUCUUCAAGGCAAAAAUAAAUAUUUAUUAAGAUAUGGGUUAAAAAUCUUUUUGUUGAGUGUUUUUUCUGGGAGCAGGGGUGGGUUGCCAUAUGCCAGAACCCUGCCACCAGGCUGAAUUUUGGACUUUUUCGGGUUUUUUGCAGGGUGGUUAAGAAACAAGCAGGGGAGCUGCGGGUGCUGCAGGGCUGUGGGGUGUGCUUUGGUCCUGCCUUGUCCGUGGGCUGUGUUCCUGUGAGCAUCCUGGUGCCUUUUCCUGGGGAUUGUGUGUGCUCAGAGUAUUCCCCGAGGCUCCCAGCUGUCUGAAAUCCCCGAAUCAUUCCUGCUAUAAAUAUCCCAGCAGUGAGACAGCAAGAGCUGGUGGCCCUUGGCGAGGGGUUUAACAGGGGUGUGGUGAUGGUGAGGGGACACUGAAGGGUCCCUGUGCCCCAGCUGGGCUCCUCCACUGACCCAAAGCCUGGGAUCCCUCAAACCCCUGCUGCCCAAGUGUUGCAGGGACCCUCUCUGUGAGCUGGGCACCCUAAUUGGGCUCUAAUUAAUCCUUCUCUGGCUCUGAUU